AACAUAUGACUAACAUUUAGUCUGCGGCUGCACCUAGUAACAUUAGGCUGCCUACGUACCCUUAUUGAGGGAUCAAGCCACACGUACACAUAGGCAAUACCUUUAUUUAUUUCUCUGUAUUUCACAUUAUCUCCCCAUACGCAGGUACUACCAACGCCACGUAUGGGGUCUGUCAACACGCCGGAUAACAUACGCUACGUGCGACCUCACCAUAAUAUCACAUAUCUCCCCACACGCCGGUACAACCAACGCCACGUAUGAGGUCUGUCUCAACGCCGGAUAACCUAUGCCACGCGAGACCUCAACAUCAUAUAACAAUAUCUCCCCAUAUGCCAGUACAACCAACGCCACGUAUGGGGUCUGUCAACACGCCUGAUAACCUACGCCACGUGCGACCCCACUAUAAUAUCACAUAUCUCCCCAUACGCCGGUACAACCAACGCCACGUAUAGGGUAUGUCUCAACGCCGGAUAACCUACGUCACGUGAGACCUCAACAUCAUAUAACAAUAUCUCCCCAUACGCCGGUACAACCAACGCCACGUAUGGGGUCUAUCAACACGUCGGAUAACCUACGCCACGUGCGAUCUCACCAUAAUAUCACAUAUCUUCCUAUACGCCGGUACAACCAACGCCACGUAUGGGGUCUGUCUCAACGCCGGAUAACCUACGCCACGUGAAACUUCAACAUCAUAUCACAUAUCUCCCCAUGCGCUGGUACAACCAACGCCACGUAUGGGGUCUGUCGACAUGCCGG
rnacentral:lncRNA from 1 species